rnacentral:rRNA from 1 species
UACGUAGGGUGCGAGCGUUGUCCGGAAUUAUUGGGCGUAAAGAGCUCGUAGGCGGUUUGUCGCGUCGACUGUGAAAACCUGGGGCUUAACUCUGGGCCUGCAGUCGAUACGGGCAGACUUGAGUUCGGUAGGGGAGACUGGAAUUCCUGGUGUAGCGGUGAAAUGCGCAGAUAUCAGGAGGAAUACCGGUGGCGAAGGCGGCAUCCUGGACCGAGAUUGACACUGAUGAGCGAAAGCUAGGGGAGCAAACAGG